GAUGAACGCUGGCGGCGUGCUUAACACAUGCAAGUCGAACGUGAGGGUGUAGCAAUAUGCCUGAAAGUGGCGAACGGGUGAGUAACACGUAGAUGACCUGCCCUGGAGUGGGGGAUAACCAUUGGAAACGGUGGCUAAUACCGCAUACAUCCAGAAGAUUGGGAAAUUUUCUGGGGAAAGCUCUGGUGCUCUGGGAGGGGUCUGCGUCCGAUUAGCUAGUUGGUGAGGUAAAGGCUCACCAAGGCGACGAUCGGUAGCUGGUCUGAGAGGACGAUCAGCCACACGGGAACUGAGACACGGUCCCGACUCCGACGGGGGGCAGCAGUGAGGAAUAUUGGGCAAUGGGCGAGAGCCUGACCCAGCAACGCCGCGUGGAGGAAGACGGCCUUCGGGUUGUAAACUCCUUUUGACAGGGAAGAGAGAGGACGGUACCUGUCGAAUAAGUCACGGCUAACUACGUGCCAGCAGCCGCAGUAACAC
rnacentral:rRNA from 1 species